AACCCUAGUCAAUAGAUUCACGGCGUAAAACGUGUUUAAGGAAUACUUUUAUAAAGUCAAACUCUAGCUACGCUGUAAAAAGCUAUAGCUACUGUAAGUCCUAACGCGAAAGUAACUUUAAAAUACCUGAAUACACGACAGCUAAGGCCCAAACUGGGAUUAGAUACCCCACUAUGCUUAGCCCUAAACCUAAAGAGUCCUCCCAACAAGACUCUUCGCCAGAGUACUACUAGCCAAAGCUUAAAACUCAAGGGACUUGGCGGUGUUUCAUAUCCCUCUAGAGGAGCCUGUUCUAUAAUCGAUAAACCCCGAUCAACCUCACCAGCCUUUGCCAACU
rnacentral:rRNA from 1 species